rnacentral:rRNA from 1 species
UGGUGGAGUGAUUUGUCUGGUUAAUUCCGUUAACGAACGAGACCCCGCCUGCUAAAUAGUCACAUCAAUGCCUAGCCUUGGUGUUGGCUUCUUAGAGGGACUUUCGGUGACUAACCGAAGGAAGUUGGGGCAAUAACA